UCCAGCGCCAUGUCUUCGGCAGUCCAAAGACAUCCUCUCAAAUCUCCUCUUCCCAGCCAACUUCGUGAAUUCCCAGCUAAUCCCGAUAACAUUCCAACUCCCAAAACGACCAAUCCUUAUCCCAACUAGAUUCCGCUAGCUCCCAGCCCUCCUUCGGAUGCGUUCGUGAUCUAUGUUCAUCCCACGACCGCAUCAAAUCCCCUGUUACGUGCAUCUCCCAUUCCCAGCACCUCAUCCACGGAAGUAAUCCAUCCUUCUUCAAGCCGAAUCCCCUGUUCCCAAUCGUACCGUUUCCAAACCUCCUCAACUUCUCUUCCGCAUCAUGCACGGAUGAAUCCCCUACAUCCCGAAACUGAGUCUUCUAUGCCUUGCUCCAUGAAUCUUUCCCAACCGGAUGAACAUCCCAAACCAUUUCUCCCAGCAAAUCCCAAUUCUUCCGGCAUCUCCUCUCAGCCGAGAACACCACCCCCUGAUCCCAGCCGUUAACGAAGUCCCAAGCUACCCAUCCCGUAUCUACAGAUUAAGCAUCCCAGCCUCAAAACAGAGUUCAUCUCCCCUGCUUCCAUGAUUCCUCCCAACUUAUCCUCCCAACCGAAUCCUCAAGUUCUUUUCUCAAGCGGGAUAAGCCUUCCGAAAUGCCCAGAUCUCAUCCCGUUUGGAACGGAGUCCCAUCGUCCAUGGAUAAAGCCCAGGAAUCCAACUCCUUCCGCAUCCAAAGAACAACCAUCUAAGAUCUUUCCAAAUGCCUACAGCCGCAUCCCAAAGCCUCAUCUCUUCUCAGCCGUGGGCUUCAUCCAAACAUCCACUAUUUCAUGUGUCUUCAUCUCCAAAGCUUCCGGAACAGCUCCUCCCACGAUGCUUGCCAAGCAAACAAAGAUCCAUCUUUAUCCAAGCAACCUCACACAACCCAUCUCCCAACCGUAUCCCCUAUUUUGGAACAAAACCAAUCUCCCCAGCAUCCCAGCCGUCCACCGCAUUAAAGCUUCUCCCCACUCCAAGGAUCAGCAGCUCAACGUCCUCCGGAUCACCAUCUAAGCUCUCAUCUGAGAUCCACCUCCAACUUCUCCCGCGUCCGGAUCUCCCGCGGCCAACAAAACCAAAGCUCCAUCCAGCCGCUUCCAUCCUUAUCCGUGAAGAAACAGAGGAGGAGCGAGGGGGAGAUGGGCUACCUAUAUAAGGGAGGACUUCUGAUCAGAGGAAGGCAUUCCUUCUUUCCCACCGAGGACUGCUCCAAUUCCUCCNNNNNNNNNNNNNNNNNNNNUCCAUCCUUAUCCGUGAAGAAACAGAGGAGGAGCGAGGGGGAGAUGGGCUACCUAUAUAAGGGAGGACUUCUGAUCAGAGGAAGGCAUUCCUUCUUUCCCACCGAGGACUGCUCCCAUUCCUCCUUUUCCAACCGGGAGGAAGGCAAGCUCGGGUUCACAGGUGAAGUUCCCAUGGAAGAAGAUGAAAUUACAGGAGAGAGAAGAGUUUGGGUCUUUUUGGGAAUGCCUUCUCAAAAGAAAGAAAAAAAUGAAGUGCUGAGGCAGAGGAAGCCGAUCGUGAUAGAAAUGGGAGCCUGCUGAUGUGCUACUGCUGCCGUCCACCACUGCAUGGAAGCUUAAGCUCUUCUCUAGGGCUGGAUGCAGCCCUAACAAAAGGAUAAGGGAUUUGUAUUUAUUUUUUUAUUUCUAUUCUUGGGGUUGUAUGAACUUAUUAUUUUUAAUGGAUAUCUUCUUUUGAAUCAUAUUUAAUUUCUGUGAUUUUAAGUAUGAUGUUCGUACAACUAUUCUUCAUGAUCACUAAGUAAAUAUAAGAUAGUCCAUGCUUAGGAAAGAUGCAGUGUCCUGCCACAUUAGUUUAGGGUAGACAUUUCAUGCCAACUGAAGAUGGAUUAUUCCCAAAUUACUUUUGUGAAUUUUUAUUUAAAUGCUUAUUAGGCUUGUAGCCAAUUUGCAUGUUAAUCCAAGAAUAGAUUAAAAUAUAAAUAAUCCUUGUUCCGAUGUU
rnacentral:lncRNA from 1 species